GUGUCACUUCAGCAGCACACAUACUAAAAUUGGAAUGAUAGAGAAGAUUAGUAUGGACCCUGUGUGAAAAUGAUAUGUAAAUUAGUAAAGCAUUCUAUAUUUUU
rnacentral:snRNA from 1 species